CUACGUCAUCGCCUACUGCUGGCCGAUCUGGUUCUCUUUUGAUGCAUUGGCGUUUGUUAACCGCGUGAGUCUAGAGCCGAAGCAACAAUUUUUCUUUCCGAACUUUAACCGUGAUGAACAACCUCUUUCUGAUCUCUUUCGUGACUCUACCGCGUCAUUUUGAGUGAUGAUGUAACACUGAGACUUGACAGACGUCAAAUGUGGGUACAAACGUGCGUACGUAAUCUAUGAUGCGUGUUCUGUGUGCUACGCACUUAGCAAAUGGUUUGGUUUGUACCUCCUGAAUACUUCCUAGAAAGUGCGGCGUUUAGGGAAUGACUGACGUCAAGAGGAAGUCUUUAGACAAGUCUGGUGGUACUGAGAGGUAAGAAGAGAAUGCUUGAUUAAUAUUUCAUCUUGAUAUAACGUCCUCAGCUGUACGUGGCUGUCAUAUAAAUGAACCAGUAACUCAGUGUUACUGUACUGUGUUUUACCUUUUGGAGUGUGUAGUUGCCAUGCCAUCAUGGUUAUUUGCUGUGUUCCUGGAUGUACCAAUGUAUCUGCAAAGGGGAAAUAUUUGAAGUUUCACAUGGAAAUUUUUGUCACAUGGAUAAACUUUAUUGCCAUUUGAAUGACGUUGACUGGUGGUUGCCAAGGGAUACUCUACAUCAAAGUCUACCACAGUCAUUUAGAAAGACUUUCCUAAAAAAGACCUGCAUCAUUGAUGCAACAGAACUAUUUACAGAACAUCAUUCAGAUAGAGGUUUGCAAUCAGCUUCUUUCUCCAGAUACAAACACCACCACACUGUGAAAGCAUUGGUUGCAAUAUCGCCAUGUGGUCAUGUUAUGCUUGUGUCGCAACCUAUUUACUGGUGCAAUAACAGACAGGGACUUACCAAGCAGUCUGGUUUCUCAAUAAAUUUGUGCCUGGAGAUCAAGUCAUGGCAAACAAAGGGUUUGUUAUUGCUGACAUUCUCAUGGACAUUGGGCAUCUCGUGUGCUACCUCCUUUUCUAGAAGGAGGAGGUCUGUUUACUGAGGAGCAAGUCAUUAAUUAAUUAAAUGCCAACAAGUGGCUUCUCUUAGAAUCGACAUAGAGGGGUGAUCAGACGGAUAACGAACCAUAGCAUUUUGCAAUGUAUAAAUAACUCUUAGUUCAAGCAUGGAUCUUUUGUAUAAGGUAUUUACUGUUUGUUCAUAUCUAACAAAUUUGCAUCCACCUCUUGUAUAGAGAA